AUUGAACGCUGGCGGCAUGCCUUACACAUGCAAGUCGAACGGUAACAGCACUUCGGUGGCUGACGAGUGGCGAACGGGUGAGUAAUACAUCGGAACGUGCCCGAGAGUGGGGGAUAACGCAGCGAAAGCUGUGCUAAUACCGCAUACGAUCUACGGAUGAAAGCAGGGGAUUCGCAAGGACCUUGCGCUCAUGGAGCGGCCGAUGGCAGAUUAGGUAGUUGGUGGGAUAAAAGCUUACCAAGCCGACGAUCUGUAGCUGGUCUGAGAGGACGACCAGCCACACUGGGACUGAGACACGGCCCAGACUCCUACGGGAGGCAGCAGUGGGGAAUUUUGGACAAUGGGCGAAAGCCUGAUCCAGCCAUGCCGCGUGCAGGAUGAAGGCCUCGGUUGUAACGUGACUUUGUUACGGUAACGAAAGAAUACUCUUCUAAUAAAGGGGUACCGAGUGACGGUACCGUAACGAAUAAGAC
rnacentral:rRNA from 1 species